rnacentral:rRNA from 1 species
CAGUCGAACGGGCUCAUAUUGAAACCUAGUGAUGUAUGAGUUAGUGGCGGACGGGUGAGUAACGCGUGGAGAACCUGCCGUAUACUGGGGGAUAACACUUAGAAAUAGGUGCUAAUACCGCAUAAGCGCACAGCUUCGCAUGAAGCAGUGUGAAAAACUCCGGUGGUAUACGAUGGAUCCGCGUCUGAUUAGCUGGUUGGCGGGGUAACAGCCCACCAAGGCGACGAUCAGUAGCCGGCCUGAGAGGGUGAACGGCCACAUUGGGACUGAGACACGGCCCAAACUCCUACGGGAGGCAGCAGUGGGGAAUAUUGCACAAUGGGGGAAACCCUGAUGCAGCGACGCCGCGUGAGUGAAGAAGUAUUUCGGUAUGUAAAGCUCUAUCAGCAAGGAAGAUAAUGACGGUACUUGACUAAGAAGCUCCGGCUAAAUACGUGCCAGCAGCCGCGGUAAUACGUAUGGAGCAAGCGUUAUCCGGAUUUACUGGGUGUAAAGGGAGCGUAGACGGCAUGGCAAGUCUGAUGUGAAAGCCCGGGGCUCAACCCCGGAACUGCAUUGGAAACUGUCGUGCUAGAGUGCAGGAGAGGUAAGCGGAAUUCCUAGUGUAGCGGUGAAAUGCGUAGAUAUUAGGAGGAACACCAGUGGCGAAGGCGGCUUACUGGACUGUAACUGACGUUGAGGCUCGAAAGCGUGGGGAGCAAACAGGAUUAGAUACCCUGGUAGUCCACGCCGUANACGAUGAAUACUAGGUGUCGGGGANCAAUAGUUCUUCGGUGCCGCAGCAAACGCAUUAAGUAUUCCACCUGGGGAGUACGUUCGCAA